UACGUAGGAGGCAAGCGUUGUCCGGAAUUACUGGGCGUAAAGCGCGUGUAGGUGGUGGGACAAGUCUGCUGUGAAAGCGCCUGGCUUAACCGGGCGAGGUCGGCGGAAACUGUCCGGCUCGAGGACGGUAGAGGGGGGUGGAAUUCCCGGUGUAGUGGUGAAAUGCGUAGAGAUCGGGAGGAACACCUGUGGCGAAGGCGGCCCCCUGGGCCGGCCCUGACACUGAGACGCGAAAGCGUGGGGAGCGAACGGG
rnacentral:rRNA from 1 species